UACGUAGGUGGCAAGCGUUGUCCGGAAUUAUUGGGCGUAAAGCGCGCGCAGGCGGUUCUUUAAGUCUGAUGUGAAAGCCCACGGCUCAACCGUGGAGGGUCAUUGGAAACUGGGGGACUUGAGUGCAGAAGAGGAAAGCGGAAUUCCACGUGUAGCGGUGAAAUGCGUAGAGAUGUGGAGGAACACCAGUGGCGAAGGCGGCUUCUGGUCUGUAACUGACGCUGAGGCGCGAAAGCGUGGGGAGCAAACAGG
rnacentral:rRNA from 1 species